GUAUUGAUUCCGAUGAGUUUUGGUCCGUAGAUUUUGGGUUGGUACGUUUUCCCUCGAUUUGUCCUAGUGGAACCGCAGUCCUAUUUUCCCCUUCUAUGGAGGUUGAUAUAUUCAGAUGUAAUUGACCAGUACUCAAAGGUGGUACCACAGUGGUGGAAGUAUUAUCUGAAUUCUAUUUCGGUGGGUACGUGGUCAAGUUUCGGGGACGAAACUUCUUUUAAGGGGGGGAUAAUGUAAGGACUAAGAUGUUUACAGUGCAAUUAAACUCUCCGUUGACGAUGUUUAUGUGUGUAAUUUAAUUACAUAAGCACUCGUCAAGUUUCAGGACAAAAUGAGCUAAAACGGAGGAGUUACGCGAUUAUUAGUUUUCACUUAAGUGAAUAGUAACUCCGGUUUUUCGGUGAAGCCACAGAGUAGAGUUGGCUUUCUCCG
rnacentral:lncRNA from 1 species